CCUACGGGUGGCUGCAGUGGGGAAUAUUGCACAAUGGGCGAAAGCCUGAUGCAGCAACGCCGCGUGAGCGAUGAAGGCCUUCGGGUCGGAAAGCUCUGUCCUCAAGGAAGCUAAUGACGGUACUUGAGGAGGAAGCCCCGGCUAACUACGUGACAGCAGCCGCGGUAAUACGUAGGGGGCUAGCGUUAUCCGGAUUUACUGGGCGUAAAGGGUUCGUAGGUGGUUUCUUAAGUCAGAGGUGAAAGGGUACGGCUCAACCGUAGUAAGCCGUUGAAACUGGGGAACUUGAGUGCAGGAGAGGUGAGUGGAAUUCCUGGUGUAGCGGUGAAAUGCGUAGAUAUUAGGCGGAACACCAGUUGCGAAGGCGGCUCUCCGGACUGUAACUGACACUGAGGCACGAAAGCGUGGGGAGCAAACAGGAUUAGAUACCCGGGUAGUC
rnacentral:rRNA from 1 species